rnacentral:lncRNA from 1 species
AUUAUUUAGAUAUAGAGCUCCAGGACUGUAACGCAAGUGUUGUACACUUCCUUGUUAUUUGGAUAACCGUUCUGCUGUUGGUGUGAUGGCGCAUAACACGUCGGACUCUCGUCUUUCUACAACUAGACCCGUAGUGGGGGUUAUCUCAGCCAUGGUUGAGAAUGAAUUGGGGGAAAGGAACUUUGGCUUUGACUCCCUGAAGUCAUGAACCACGACAUGGAGGAGAAGGGGAUUGUUGACCGCGGUCGUCUCCCGCCGGAGACCGCUGCCGAGGCGGCGGGAAGCAGGGCUCAAGCGGGAUACAUUCGCGGCCAACAAUCCCUUUCUCCUCCAUGUCGUGGUUCAUGUAGCCUACUUCAGGGAGUCAAAGCCAAAGUUCCUUUCCCCCAAUUCAUUCUCAACCAUGGCUGAGAUAACCCCCACUACGAGUCUCGUUGUAGAAAUACCAGAGACUAGAGUCCGACAUGUUAUGCGCAAUCACACCAACAGCAGAACGGUUAUCCAAAUAACAAGGAAGUGUACAACACUUGCGUUUCAGUCCUGGAGCUCUGCUCUAUAUCUAAAUAAUAUCAUAUAAUACAUAGAUAUCUAUAUCAAAUAAUACAUAUUAUCACGGCCAAAAGCUGUGUGCGCGUCCAGACGAUAUAAUGAAUCACAAAGGACUUCGUCGGGUUCUCCGACGUCUCUGGUUCUUCCACUUCCACAUCAAUCUGAAGUAGACGCGGUCGUUUGAGAUUCAUAAUAACCUAUCGUCUGGAGGCUCACACAGUUUUUGGCCGUGAUAAUAUAUAUUAUAUAUUAUAUGAUAGAUAUCUAUGUUUAAUAUGGGUUUCUAAGAGCCAUUGCGAUACAUCCACCGUAAACAGCGCAUGGUACUGUCAGUGGCUACAAGCUGCUCAGGGCCACACCCCCACCCCCCUCCUUGACCUGCCUUGACACGCCCACCGUAUACAGAGCGCAUGGUAGUGGCUACAAGCUGCUCAGGGCCACACCCCCACCCCCCUCCUUGACCUGCCUUGACACGCCCACCGAAACAGCGCGUUUGGGGGAAGCUCAAUGUGCGACUGUUUCGGAGUGACUGUAACUCUGCACCACGGCUGAAUUUCGGGGACGUCUUUGAAUACUGCGUUUGUGGCCCACUAAUACCUAUAUUAAAGCAUCAUAAAAUAGAAUGGCAUGGGAUCUUUAAGAAAAACUUAAAAAACAUUACACAAACAUAAGCCAAAAAGCACCAGAGUUGUAUGGCAUUCUAUCGAGAAUCCUUUACCAAGGAAAGACUAACUUUAGGCCCUGGAAAAAUGCUUCCACUAAGCGAGCUCAAAAAUGGCCCAGACAUUGCUUCCAAAUUUGGAGCUGAAUUGUCAACCAGUAUUUUUUCUGCCAAAUGGAUUAAAUACCAUG